rnacentral:rRNA from 1 species
CGCAAGUGUAUUCCUAUAUUGUUGCGGUUAAAAAGCUCGUAGUUGGAUCUGAGUGUUUAGCGCUUGGUGCAGUUCUGCUGUUACUGAGCGCGGCACAUAAUCGCCAAUUGGUUGCCAUUGUUGCCUUAACCGGUGAUGGUGGUUGACUGUUGGCAUGUUUACUUUGAACAAAUCAGAGUGCUCAAUACGGGCGUUUCGCUUGUAUGGUCGUGCAUGGAAUAAUAGAAUAGGACCUUGGUUCUAUUUUGUUGGUUUUCGGAAUUGAGGUAAUGAUUAAGAGGGACAGACGGGGGCAUUCGUACUGCAACGUGAGAGGUGAAAUUCUUGGAUCGUUGCAAGACGAACUACUGCGAAAGCAUUUGCCAAGAAUGUUUUCAUUAA